CCUUUCCCUCUACCCUCCCUCCCCCCGGACUCUAGCUUCUGCGUCGGGUCUUCACGACAACAGCGGUGACGCUCGCCGCCUUCGCGGUUGGUGGUACGUGCGCCCGAUGAGAACUACUCCUCCCGCUGUCAGGUGAAUUCCUGCACCUGGCCAAGAGGAAGGGUCGUUGCCCGUAUCUUCGUCCAGGAGCCGCGUGUCUCAAGAGGGUACCAGUCGCCGUCGUCCUGUAUGUACUGUGACAUUCCUUAGACGGAAAAUUGCACGAUUUUCAACCUUAGCUGAAUCGACAUUUUAAAUUCUACAGGAAACUGAAAAAGGGGAUUGCUACUAAAAUGAGGAGCAGACCACAUAGUAGGAAUCCACCCCACCACAUGCCGACCCAUCUGUGAUCUCCGGGAUCUGAAAAAUUCGUGUUACAGAAAACGAGUCCAUAUGGAAGGAUAAAAGAUACGCUCCGAGAAGAAAGCCUAAGACUGGUCCAAAGGCCGCCAUACUAUACAUACAACCUGAAAAAGAGAAGGAAAUAUUUUUCACGGUAAAUGAAAAAGAUUCCCCGAUGCAUACUUGAAAAUGAAGAGAAGAAGAAGAAAAGAAAGCACUUAUCUACAUGUACGCAAUCUUACAGCAUUUUUACUCACCGAUAUAUAAAGAUGCACUUUCCGGUCUCACGUGAUCG